UUCGAAAAGAUUCAAUUUGGCCCGUUACGCUCAUUUCCUUAAUACGCCAUUAAAUUACGCGGUCCAUUACGUCUUCACCUUGGGGAAAAUUUUCAUGUAGAUGACUCGAUUUUUCAUAUUAUAUUUUUUAAUAAAAAUGAUUGUCACGACAAGGUCGUUCUCAUUCCAACCCAUUAAUUAUCUGCUUUUUUUUUCUUGCAGUGUUCGGAGUGUUAUGCACAAAUAUUUGGAGAAGAAAAAUGAAGUGAACUUCGAUAAGAUCUUCCACCAACAGUUAGGGUACUUAUUAUUUAAGGACUUUUGUGAAAACGUAUCCGAAGUGCCGGUUCCUGAAUUACGGUUUUACGAAGAG